ensembl:ncRNA W02F12.11 ncRNA
UUUUUUGCGCAAAACAAUUGAAAUAUGUUCUAAAUAACUCCUCAUUCAAAAAUAUCAAGGAAUUUUAAUGCAACAAUUCGAGAAGUGGGCGUGGUCGGACGGGCGCUGGUCUGCAACGCGCGCGCGCGUUUUUCGCAACGCCACCGCACGCUU